ACGCUCGACACCUACGGGAGGCAGCAGUGGGGAAUAUUGCACAAUGGGGGAAACCCUGAUGCAGCGACGCCGCGUGAGUGAAGAAGUAAUUCGUUAUGUAAAGCUCUAUCAGCAGGGAAGAAAGUGACGGUACCUGAGUAAGAAGCCCCGGCUAACUACGUGCCUGCAGCCGCGGUAAUCUGAGCGGGCUGGCAAGGC
rnacentral:rRNA from 1 species